UACGUAGGGGGCAAGCGUUGUCCGGAUUUAUUGGGCGUAAAGAGCUCGUAGGUGGUUCGGUAAGUCGGAUGUGAAAUCUCCAGGCUCAACCUGGAGGGGUCAUUCGAUACUGCCGUGACUAGAGGUCGGUAGGGGAGUGUGGAAUUCCUGGUGGAGCGGUGAAAUGCGCAGAUAUCAGGAGGAACACCCGUAGCGAAGGCGGCACUCUGGGCCGAUACCGACACUGAGGAGCGAAAGCGUGGGGAGCGAACAGG
rnacentral:rRNA from 1 species